rnacentral:piRNA from 1 species
UUGGUCCCCUGUGGUGGGUCUGGA